UAAUAAUUAAGCGCAAGUGGUAAAAUCCAACGUUGCCAUCGUUGGGCCCCCGGUUCGAUUCCGGGCUUGCGCAA
rnacentral:tRNA from 1 species